rnacentral:rRNA from 1 species
GACGAACGCUGGCGGCGUGCUUAACACAUGCAAGUCGAACGAAGUGGCGAACGGGUGAGUAACGCGUAAUCAAACUGCCCUUCAGAGGGGGACAACAGUUGGAAACGACUGCUAAUACCUCAUACUAAAGGAGGGGAUUGCGUCUGAUUAUCUAGUUGGAGGGGUAACGGCCCACCAAGGCGAGGAUCAGUAGCCGGUCGGAGAGGAUGAACGGCGACAUGGUGACGUGGACACGGCCCAGACUCCUACGGGAGGCAGCAGUGGGGAAUCUUCCGAAAGGGACGAAAUUCUGACGAAGCAACGCGGCGUGAGUGAUGACGACCUUCGGGUUGUAAAGCUCUGUUAAUCGGGACGCGGUACCGGAAUAGAAAGCCACGGCUAACUACGUGCCAGCAGCCGCGGUAAUUC